UUACGCUUCGCCAUGUAGUGAUCACAAGUGUUGAAUAAUAUCUUCUUUAAGUUGAGAAUUAACUUGUGUAUCCCUUAUGCGAUGAUUGACUUUGUGGGGUACGCUCAUGAGACACUUCUACAAUUGUAAUCUCGUCAUGUGUAUCAUAGGUUGUUGGUUUUUGAUUUUCAUCUUGUUCAUCCUCAAUGAUCAUAUUAGGUAGUAUUAUUCGUGCAGUCAUAAUUUCUUUUAGUGUUGUUUGAUCCUAAAAUCGUGCAGGACCACGAACGAUCGCAAAACGUGUUUAGAGUACCCAAAAUGAUCGUUCAAUAUCCUUCCUAACAUAUUUUAAAUUGACGAGACAUAUUUAAAAUUGACGAGACAUAUUUAAAAUAAUGUGUUUGACUGGAAGUUUGAAGUUGAGAUGAGUGAAUAUGAGAGACCGGAUGUGCCUUAUAUUUAUAGAGGUUGUUUGUUCUUUAAAAUAUAGUUGUU
rnacentral:lncRNA from 1 species